CGCCUUGCCAGCCCGCUCAGAAACUCAAAGGAAUUGACGGGGGCCCGCACAAGCGGAGGAGCAUGUGGUUUAAUUCGAUGAUACGCGAGGAACCUUACCUGGGCUCGAACGUAAGAUGACUGUAGGUGAAAGCUUACAUCUCUUCGGAGCAUUUUACGAGGUGCUGCAUGGUUGUCGUCAGCUCGUGCCGUGAGGUGUCGGGUUAAGUCCCAUAACGAGCGCAACCCCUACCUUUAGUUGCCAUCAGGUUAAGCUGGGGACUCUAAAGGAACUGCCUACGCAAGUAGUGAGGAAGGUGGGGACGACGUCAAGUCAUCAUGGCCCUUAUGUCUAGGGCUACACACGUGCUACAAUGGGUUAUACAGAGGGCAGCUAGCUCGCGAGAGUCUGCGAAUCCCUUAAAGUAAUCCUCAGUUCGGAUUGUAGUCUGCAACUCGACUACAUGAAGUUGGAAUCGCUAGUAAUCGCAGGUCAGCAAAACUGCGGUGAAUACGUUCCCGGGCCUU
rnacentral:rRNA from 1 species